UUUCCCCAGGCAUGCAGUUUCCCUCUCAAAGGCAACUAAUCUGAUAGGAGCAUGUGGAACGAAAGAGGAUGGAAGACGGAUUUGUCAUGAAGAAUUGAGAGUGCCCAGAGUCUCAAACAUCUGUUUAAAAUCAAAUUAAGAUUAAACUCAACACAGG
rnacentral:lncRNA from 1 species